rnacentral:rRNA from 1 species
UACAGAGGUCUCAAGCGUUGUUCGGAUUCAUUGGGCAUAAAGGGUGCGUAGGUGGCGCGGUAAGUCGGGUGUGAAAUCUCGGAGCUUAACUCCGAAAUUGCAUUCGAUACUGCCGUGCUCGAGGACUGGAGAGGAGACUGGAAUUCAUGGUGUAGCAGUGAAAUGCGUAGAGAUCAUGAGGAAGACCAGUGGCGAAGGCGGGUCUCUGGACAGUUCCUGACACUGAGGCACGAAGGCCAGGGGAGCAAACGGG